ensembl:lncRNA
CACAGGUAGCUCUCUUCAUAGCCUCUGAAUUGCUUUCCCAGUGGAAAAGCAAGGGCAGGCUGCUCUGCUUUCCAGUAGCUGCUGCCUUCACCUGACUUCGCUCUCAUCUUAUCUUAGGAGAAUAAAUCCCUUUCUUUGCUAGAGGGUAGGUUUAACAUAACAUCCUGCUAAGCUUUCUGCAGUCCCAGCCAGCCUGCACCCUCCUCCUGGUCAUCUCCAUCCCUUCUUCCUGUCGCUGGUCCUUAUCUAAGUGUGUAUCACGUUGGAUACUAGGGAAAAAUUCAUCUCAGGGCACAGCUGCACAGGGAGUGGGGGCAGUCACCGUGCUGGGAGGUGUUCAGAGCUGUGGGGAUGUGGCACUGAGCAACGUGGGCAGUGGGCAUGGUGGGCUGGGGUUGGACCUGGGGACCUGAGGGGUCUUUUCCAGCCUCAGUGGUUCUGUGAAAUGUAACCUGAGGGUUACAGGCACCGGAUUCUGUAGUAGCCCAUAGGCUAGCAAGGCAGGAGGCGGUGCCAGCUGUGUAGGACCUCAAGCCUAAAUAGCCAUUAGCAUCAGGCUGGCCUUGAUUAAGCCUGAUGGCAGGCUGAGGGGAUGUUGGAAGUUUGUUCCACCUCCUUUAAGUAGGUAUCCCUUUUUAAAGGGAAGGAUGAAAUGAGGGAUGCCAUGGUGGUGCUCCAGGUACUUUCAUGGUUGCAUAUUGUGUAGGGGCUAAGGCGGGCUGCUGAAAAAUCACCUGGAAGGAGUUGGGUAAGUCUUGGCUGUGCUAAGAUUUGCUGAGCGUGUGAGGCUCUUGGUCAGAGGUAUGGAUCUUCUGUUAGCCUGAGUGAAGUACAGCUCGAGCUGCAGGACUUACUGGAGCAUCUCUUGCAGUGUGCUCUGGAGCAGGCACGGUGCGGGCACCAGGGAGCCCGUUCUCUUAUUGCUGUCCCUUGUUUUGUGCCUUGCUUUGUGCUACCUGUCCCUCCUUGCUAUCUAGGCCACGUGUUAGAUCAGCACCGUUUUUAGUUCGGGGUGAAUCUGAACUGAAGAACGCUGUAUGCGAUAGCCAGGAACGAGCUCGGGGCUGGGAGCAGCGGAGCCUUUCUUAUGGCAGGUUGUGCUUUGCUCUGGCAAGGUCUGCAGGCCGGUCUGCUGCAGGGAUUCCUCAGCACAAGCCUGAACGGUGUGGGUUCAGCUGUGUUUGACAGGAGCUGAAACUUAUCACAGUCAGUAAGCUGCAAUGUGUGCUGCUGUAGGAGAGCUGGCCAGAACCUGGAUUUCUUCCCCAACCACCUCUGUGAGUGUGGGGACAGGAUGUUUCAGGGGGUAGCUGGGAAAGCCCAUUUUAUUUUCAUGUUGCUCUUUUUUCCCUCUCUUGCUUGACUCCAGUUUUAAAGGCUGUCCUGGUUAGUUGCUCCCCACACCAACUACCCAUAAAAAUCCUCUGCAGAGGCACACCAGGGAGCGUGCUAGAACUGGGAGGUACACCAGUGUGCUGCACAGUGUGUUUGCAUCUGCUCCAGUGUUGGCUGCCCUCUUCCUGCAAGUGACAGGCUCUGGCAAAUGCCAGGCUGCUCAUUACCUUUGCACUGCUCCAUACAUAAUGAGGUAAAAUGAAAACAAGUUCCCUCACUGCAGCUAUGUGAUCUGGGAACUCAUAAAGGCUAAAGUGCUUUUAAUUAUGAGCUUGUUCCGAUUAUGCCCAGGCUUUCUGUUUCCUCCCAUGGAGCAGACCAGCCCUCUGAGGUCAAGAUGAACUUCAGUUAGAGAACUUCUGGCACGCAGUUAGGAAAACUGGAGAGUUUCCCCCCUCCUAAAACUAGACACCUGCAAUGUGUGAUCUAUUGUUCCCC